CUGUCAGUUUGCUCAAACACUUAGCAACUGUGGGUCACAAGGUUGCAAAACACAAAAUGCAAUUGUGUAAAUCAAAGGUUGAUUACUUAGGUUUUGUUCUGGCUUCAGGCACCAGACAAUUGAGUCCAAAACGUAUUGAGGUCAUUCAGAGGAUUCCUAAACCCACUACUCGGAAGGAGUUGCUCACCUUCCUCGGCAUGAUUAAU